UGGCGGCGUGCUUAACACAUGCAAGUCGAACGAUGAACCGCUUUCGGGCGGGGAUUAGUGGCGAACGGGUGAGUAACACGUGGGCAAUCUGCCCUGCACUCUGGGACAAGCCCUGGAAACGGGGUCUAAUACCGGAUAUGACUGUCCAUCGCAUGGUGGAUGGUGUAAAGCUCCGGCGGUGCAGGAUGAGCCCGCGGCCUAUCAGCUUGUUGGUGAGGUAGUGGCUCACCAAGGCGACGACGGGUAGCCGGCCUGAGAGGGCGACCGGCCACACUGGGACUGAGACACGGCCCAGACUCCUACGGGAGGCAGCAGUGGGGAAUAUUGCACAAUGGGCGAAAGCCUGAUGCAGCGACGCCGCGUGAGGGAUGACGGCCUUCGGGUUGUAAACCUCUUUCAGCAGGGAAGAAGCGAAAGUGACGGUACCUGCAGAAGAAGCGCCGGCUAACUACGUGCCAGCAGCCGCGGUAAUACGUAGGGCGCAAGCGUUGUCCGGAAUUAUUGGGCGUAAAGAGCUCGUAGGCGGCUUGUCACGUCGGUUGUGAAAGCCCGGGGCUUAACCCCGGGUCUGCAGUCGAUACGGGCAGGCUAGAGUUCGGUAGGGGAGAUCGGAAUUCCUGGUGUAGCG
rnacentral:rRNA from 1 species